UACGGAGGGUGCAAGCGUUAAUCGGAAUUACUGGGCGUAAAGCGUGCGCAGGCGGUUUGUUAAGUCCGUUGUGAAAGCCCCGAGCUCAACUUGGGAAUUGCAGUGGAUACUGGCAGGCUGGAGUACGGUAGAGGAAGGUGGAAUUCCCGGUGUAGCAGUGAAAUGCGUAGAUAUCGGGAGGAACAUCAGUGGCGAAAGCGGCUUCCUGGUCCAGCACCGACGUUCAGGCACGAAAGCGUGGGGAGCAAACAGG
rnacentral:rRNA from 1 species